rnacentral:pre_miRNA from 1 species
AGCCCUCUGUAUCUAUACAGAGAUUUUGUCACACAUUAGAUCAAAAGGGCGGAUGAGAGUCCCAAGAUAUGUGAAGUG